CUAAAUGUGACAAAUCAUAUGAAAUAGAAGUAGUAUAAAAUUACAGCUAGAGGAAAUAAUAUAAAUGAACUUUAUGGUAUAAUAUUUCAAUAUCAUAAUUUGAAGAUGAUUGAAGGUUUAAUUUUUUUAGAUUUUUAUUUUUUAACACUCAAAUUCAGAUUUAUAUUUAUUUCAAAUCACUGCCCAUACAGAGAAGGGAAAGAGGGUUUUGGAGUUAGACGAUGGAGAAAGGAAAGAGAGAGCAUGAUUGUCUCAAGAGAGAGAGGGAGGGACGAAAUACAAAACGACGACUUUGGUCUUGAAACGACAACGAAAAGGUCAGAACUUGGGAAAAAAAUCUGAAGAAUUUUUCCUUGAAACUUUCUACAAUGUGACGGAAGCACAGUUGCCGAUCAUGAACAUGAGAGAUUGCGUCACCUGGACAUUUAACGAAUGUUUAGUUUGAUUAUGAUUAGUUGAUGAGGAGUUGGACAUUUAACCAGAAAUCAGUGUACUGUUUGCAUGUGAAUGAUAUUUCUGGAACAGGUGUCCAGUCGUACUCUCAGCCACCCAACAGUGAGCCAGAAA